rnacentral:rRNA from 1 species
UGAAACUCGCCUACAUGAAGCUGGAGUUACUAGUAAUCGCAGAUCAGAAUGCUGCGGUGAAUGCGUUCCCCGGGUCUUGUACACACCGCCCGUCACACCACGGAAGUUGGGGGCGCCCGAAGCCACUUAGCUAACCCUUUUGGGAAGCGAGUGUCGAAGGUGAAAUCAAUAACUGGGGUGAAGUCGUAACAAGGUAUC